UACGUAGGGUGCAAGCGUUGUCCGGAAUUAUUGGGCGUAAAGAGCUCGUAGGCGGUUUGUUGCGUCGGCUGUGAAAUCCCGAGGCUCAACUCGGUCGUGCAGUCGAUACGAGCAAACUAGAGUGUUGCAGGGGAGACUGGAAUUCCUGGUGUAGCGGUGAAAUGCGCAGAUAUCAGGAGGAACACCGGUGGCGAAGGCGGGUCUCUGGGCAACAACUGACGCUGAGGAGCGAAAGCGUGGGUAGCAAACAGG
rnacentral:rRNA from 1 species